CUACGUGCCAGCAGCCGCGGUAAUACGUAGGGCGCGAGCGUUGUCCGGAAUUAUUGGGCGUAAAGAGCUUGUAGGCGGUUUGUCGCGUCUGCUGUGAAAGGCCGGAGCUUAACUCCGUGUAUUGCAGUGGGUACGGGCAGACUAGAGUGCAGUAGGGGAGACUGGAAUUCCUGGUGUAGCGGUGGAAUGCGCAGAUAUCAGGAGGAACACCGAUGGCGAAGGCAGGUCUCUGGGCUGUAACUGACGCUGAGAAGCGAAAGCAUGGGGAGCGAACAGGAUUAGAUACCCUGGUAGUCCAKGCSGUAAACGUUGGGCACUAGGUGUGGGGGACAUUCCACGUUUUCCGCGCCGUAGCUAACGCAUUAAGUGCCCCGCCUGGGGAGUACGGCCGCAAGGCUAAAACUCAAAGAAAUUGACGGGGGCCCGCACAAGCGGCGGAGCAUGCGGAUUAAUUCGAUGCAACGCGAAGAACCUUACCAAGGCUUGACAU
rnacentral:rRNA from 1 species